rnacentral:antisense_RNA from 1 species
UUCAAUGGGCGGGUCGUAGGGGGGGAGCCGCAAGGCUCGCCGGUUUUGGUGAAAUCCCGGUCUGCUAACCCUUCUACGUGCCCGCUCACCCCU